AUGAUGUUGAGCACCUUUUCAGGCACCUAUUUGCAAUUUGUAUGUUUUCUUUUUACAAACAAAUUGAUCUAUUCAGGUCAUAUAAAAGAUCUAUUCAGAUCUUUUGCCCAUUUUAAAAUUAGGUUGUUAGAUGUUUUGAUUCUUGUAAUCACAUUUUCUCUUUGCAGACAGUUGUUACAAUUUGGUGUUCCUACAGGGUGGAGAAUGAAUGAUGCAGUCCUGUAUUCCACCACCUUGCUCCACUCUUCAGCAGAUUCCUUCUUGUCAUUUAAGCUGAGCACCAUGACCCUAACAACAAGCAGGCUGGCAGGAGAGCAUAUCUAGAGAAGCAUCACAUCACAGAGCCUGUAGGCUGAGGAUAGAAGGAGCCUGCUUCUUAUUCAUCCAGUGGCAUUACAAAGCUGGUCGGAAACCCCAGACUCCUCCUUCACCUUCCCCAGCAUCCCAGGAGCUGUCUGCUCUGGAAGAUGUUUCCACCAGCCUGAUUCCAAAGCACAGUUGUCCCUGCACCAUGCAUUCGAUAUGAAGACUGAGGAACGAAUGGACUUCCCUCCCUCAAAGCUCUUGCAAUCUUAGGGUCAUCAUCCCCUGGUCCAUUGUGACCUAUGUGUGUGUUUGUCACAGGUUUGCUUCAUGCCCAGGCAAGAAAUGCCUUCACGGAGUGCUUUCCUGUGUCAGGUCCAGUAACGACACGUUAAAUCCUGACUCCUUAACAGAAGCAGGUAUGACGGCUUACAAAUCACAUCGUGAAAUGGAAUUUGUAGCUGCUCCUGGGAUGUGUGUGGUCAGCUCCCUCUAGAACACUCGCACCCUUACCCAGUUCAACAGAGCCUGCUGCAUCAGUGCUUUCUCCUGGGUGACUUCUUAAUGAUUUUAUUUUCCUCUAUUAUUUAAGAGGAUUGCUAUAAUAUCUAAUCAACUGGCUGCAGCUUCGGGGAUGACUUCUUGCUAACAUCAUUCUCUUUCCUGCCUGUCAUAACUUCACUUCUGCUGUGUCCUCUUAACGCCUUGUGACUAGACAGGUACAUCAAGCCCAUCUGCCCUGAGGGUUCAUACUGGGGAAAAACAUUCCCAAAUUCAGAAAUAGCCUAUCUUAAAAUAAGAUAUUUAUAGUAUAAAUAAAUACAAAAUUCUUCAACAGAGAUAACUUAUUAGAUUCCCGUGGGAAGAAAAUUGGAGCACAGUGCUCUGGAGGUAAACAACGGAAUGACGAGUAAUAGGUUAUCAUAGCCCCUUGUACAUACCUCUUUCAAGAGUAACAUCCUCUUUCAAGAAAAUGAUUCUUGAACUAACUGAUUCUACUGACUUCUGUCAUUUGGAACAUUUUGCUUCUCUGGCUACAAUGAUUUGCUCAAGAAUGGGCAUGCUAUCCAACUCUGCUCCAUCUGAUUCAAUCCCUGGAACUGGAAACCUCAGUUGGAUUUGAAGCGUAUACACCUGGACCAUCCUGACAGCAAGUUCCCUGAUAAAUUAUCUGCAACUGGAAGAAUGGAGCAGACAAGCAUGGAGAGAAGGGACAUGUGGCCUGAUUGUUUGAGGGUUUCCAGGCUCAUUUUCUGCAGACCUGUUUCACUGUCUCUGCUCUGCUCACUGUUUCGCUAAAAGUGGUCUUUGUAGAUCUUCAUUUAGUGUGUUUCCUUAUAUUAUUAUUAUUUUUUAGAUGGGGUCUUGCUACAUUGCCCAGGAUGGUCUCAAACUCCUGACCUCAAGCUAUCUUCCCACCUCAACCUCCCAAAUCACUGUCUUGCUUAUUUUUGAUAACUUUUGCUCCUUUAGCUUUAUUUUUUGUGUUAUUAUUUUUUAUUUCAAAUUGGUUCUUGGUUUUUAAAAUAAUAUUUUUUGUUAUUUUACAAUUUUUAGUUUUAUUUUUUAGAUGGAGUUUCGCUCUUGUUGCCCUGGCUGGAGUGCAAUGGCACGAUCUCGGCUCACUGCAACUUCCGCCUCCCGGUUUCAAGCCAUUCUCCUGCCUAAGCCUCCCAAGUAGCUGGGAUUGCUGGCACCCACCACCACGCCCAGCUGGUUUUUGUAUUUUCAGGAGAGACAGGGUUUCACUAUGUUAUUUUUAAUUUUUAAUUUUCAAUUUGUGUGGGCACAUAUUAAUAGCAGAUGUAUAUAUUUAUGGGGUAUAUGGAUAAGGUAGGCCAUAUGCAACGACAUUUGAAAAUGGAACAAGAAAACCCUGAAAUAAGGUUCUUGGUGAUGGGUUAUAGCUCUGAACUUGUCAUUGUCAAGCAAAGCACAUUUUAAAGUAAUUAUUUGAACAAAAGUUUCAGAUGGCUUAACACUGCGAGAGCCACCUAAACUGGGCUCCAAGCUUCUCAGGGCAAACCACUAAGGAAAGAAGCCUGGUGUCUGGGGUACCAAGUACCUCCAGGUUUCUACACUUCCCUCACCUUCCUUCCAGAAAUACACUUCAGAUAUGGUUUCCACUGCCUGGUGAAUACUUGGCCUCAGAAUUGACUCUGUCCCCAUCGUAUGCAAGAGGGUCGCAGAGUCCAGAUUCAGUAACUUGAAUUCUCCAUUCACAAUGAUUUCUCUAGUUUGAAACCCACUGUCACCUCUAGAUAUUUGUUUUCAUUGGUGCCCAAAUAAAAAAAGGCAGCCUGCCCUGCUCCACUCCAGCUUCCAGCUACAUCAGAGUUCUGAGACUCUUCUUUGUCUUGGAAGGGGUCUGAACAGCAACAAAUAUGAAUUAAGACACCAGGAGCUCAUACCAGCCUGCAGCAGUAAGCUGCAACCCAUGUAAGAUGUUGUAAUUGGUGAUAAAGAAAAAGGUAAUAGUCAGGAUUGGGAAAGGGGGUAGAGGAAAAGAGGUACUGUAAGUUCUGCCCCUGAUAAGAAAUGUUUCUCAGUCAUAACCGAGAGCGCACCCGAGAUAAUAUGAUAAACCAUCUGAAGCCAGAACACCAAAUUCAUGAAUCCACAUGAUGUCUGACAUAUAUUCAUGACUCUCAUCUGUAAAUACAUACACGUGUGUCUUAACUUAAACAUAUUCAUGUGUGUGUCGAGAGAGAGAAAUAGAUGAAAAAAUGAAAGCUACAGAUAUAUGUCCAACUUGGACUCUGCCUAUUUUUCCACCUGACAUUUUACUAUUAAUAACAUAUUCACAUUCUCAUUUUCACAUGAUAUAUGCCUUGCUUUUUACACAUAAUUCACGUUUGACACAUUGUAUAGUAAGACUAUAUUUUUCAAUGCAAAUCUGAAAUUAAACACAUACAGCAAUUCUAACACAAUAACUAUAAGGAGAAGUAUAGCAUCUGCAAUGGUAAAUGUGGUAGUUAUGCCCUACUCUUUGUUGCUGAGAUGAUUAUCAAAUGAAACAUUGUGUUAUAUUCUAAGAAUUUCUUGGCAAGAAAGAUAUGAACAAAUAAGCUAAAUGACUAGAUGAGGACCAUCAUCCAGUGGUGACCAAGGUCACACGGAAGCAUGUAGUUGAAUGAAACUAGAACAGCACAGGGUGCAGAGAAAUCAAAUCUCCUAUUUCCCUAGACUCAUUUUGACCUCCCUGGUUUACUCCGCCAGAGCUCUCUGGCCUUUUUCUUCCUACACAACACCUUAAUUUUUGUGUAGUUACCUGUUUAAUAUUUACCCCAUUCCUAGAUUAAAGGACUAAUAAAAGAAUAUAUUCCAUGUUUUUGCACCUUGUGUUUGUUUAGCUACCUGCACUGUGUGGGAUGCAGAGAAGGUUCUCAGUACAUAUUUGUUUUAGUAAUUAAUCAAGACUAUGGGCAGACGCUGAAGGCAUGAUGAGCAAACUCAAAGGGAAUUGAACUCUGACAGCAAAUAGGUGAAAGAGCCUCAGAUGUAGGAGUCCCCAUUCCAGCUUCUUGAAAGUAUAGAAAGUCACAGAACUAGAAUCGAUAAGCCAAGAGCCCAGGGAACUAUUUAAAUUCAUUAUGAAGGAGAACUUUCCAACUCUCUGAGUUUAUCUCCAGAUGAAAUAAAACAUCUUGGACUUCAUCACAGUAUGUGAUCAAGAAGAGGUUGGCUCAUGGAAAACUGGAGAUGCCUGGGCUAAAUUAAGGGAUGUCACCAGAAAUAGGUUAGUAUCAAUUAUAGUUUAAAAAAUAACUACAGAUAUUGAAGUCUCAGAAAAAUUGUCAAUGGAAAGAGAAAGAUGAUUGGAUAAUUGAAAACGAUUACUUUGGAGGUUCAUAUAGCUCUCCAAGGGAGUCAAAUUUUCUUUUAUUAUCAGUGAAUGAUGUAAGGGAGGGACCACCUGUUUUUGGUGACAUUUGGGCACUAGUCUAAAAGCGAGCAUCCUAGGCUGUAUUCCUUACCCCAUCCUCUGUUACUUAUAUGCCUUUAGGUAAGUGAUUUUUCCGGCUGGGUUCAUAUUUCCUUACCUGUAAUAUUAAAGAAUAAAUCUAGAUGAUCUGUCUUUUUGAGAUUUAACAUCCUAUGAUGAAUAGUGGACUCAACACCACAGAUAUUACUUUUCCCUCUGCAACCCAGAGCUAUAGGAGUUAUAGGAGGAAUUACAGAAAAAGGAGCUGGUAGAGAAGAGGCUGAUGAAGAAGGAAAAAUGCUUCCUGUAUUCCCACACAUUAUAGCAAUCACAGAAAAAAAAAGGUUAACUUUCUUCACUGCUUUAAUGUAGGAAGUGAGGACUCUGAAAUCACUUCCCCAAAGUUUAUUGAGACUGUCUAUUUCAUUUAUUUAGGUUAAACUAAGAAACCAAAGUAAGACUUAUCUGACUAGGUGCUUCCCCAGGUUGGAAUUGAUAGCUUAGAUUAGUGAAUGUAAAGAAACAGAAAGUACUCAAGAACCUGGGGGAAAACACACCACACUGGUUUCUCAGUUCUUCUGAAAUUCCUCUAUUACUAAAUAACAGAUCGCCUCCAAUUUUCAAUGCAUUUAGACCCACAGAGAAAGACUGGUUUUCCUUCCUCUAUAUUAGGUUCAGUAAGCAGUGUUGUGUGUGUGUUGUGUGUGUGUGUGUGGUGUGUGUGUGUGUGACAGGCGGGGGGGAGGAGAGAGAUUUUUCUUUACCAGUUCACAAUGUAUCACUGACAUGUAAACAUCAUGGGGAGAUUAAAUUUGUCCCUCUCUAUCUCUCUGUCUCUGUCUCUCAUACAUAUACACAUAUGCCAAUGGCUUCUUUUCAUGCAAGCUGCAGGGAGAAAAAAGAGCACUAAACUAGAAUUAGGUGACCUGGUUUCUUAUACUAUCAUUAUUAGCUAGAUGAAGGUUCUAUGUCUUGAGCACCCACACUGAUCUGCCUUUAUUAUCUUUCCCUUUGGUAUCAUGUGAUUGGUUCCUAUUAAGACAUUGAACAAAUAUAAUCCCUUGAAAUUCAGUGUCGUGUUU
ensembl:lncRNA